UAGGGAAUCUUCCACAAUGGACGCAAGUCUGAUGGAGCAACGGCCGCGUGAGUGAAGAAGGUUUUCGGACCGUAAAGCUCUGUUGUUGGUGAAGAAGGAUAGAGGUAGUAACUGGCCUUUAUUUGACGGUAAUCAACCAGAAAGUCACGGCUAACUACGUGCCAGCAGCCGCGGUAAUCGUAGGUGGCAAGCGUUGUCCGGAUUUAUUGGGCGUAAAGCGAGCGCAGGCGGAAGAAUAAGUCUGAUGUGAAAGCCCUCGGCUUAACCGAGGAAUUGCAUCGGAAACUGU
rnacentral:rRNA from 1 species